rnacentral:lncRNA from 1 species
UGUUCACUAUUUAUAUGCCCAUACUCUUUGCUACACAUGAAGAAACCCUAACUCAUGUUUUUCUCCAAGGCCCUGAAUCAGCCUGGGAAGUCUAAGUGAGCAAUAGCAGGAAUGACUCUGGGCAGGAGGGCAUAUCUCUGGGUGGUCUUUCCAAGCAGCCAAGGCAGAGCUGACCAGCAAGGCCUGAGAAGGAAUGGGCAGCCAGGGCAGGGAGUCAGCGCCCCAGAAAGAUACCUGAGCUCUUUUCUGGGAUCUUUCUGAUCAUUUUCUAGGGUAAGGGAACCAUGAACUCAUUUAUGGGUAUAGAGAGAAACGAGAAGAAAGGCAGAAAUGGAGAAGAGGGAAAGCAAAGCCUUGGCAGUGACAAGAGAUGUGGCCCAGAGCUCACAGAGAAGGGCCUGGAGAAGUGGCAGCACCUGCCAGCAGGGGCAGGAGAGCAUGGGGGCAUUCCUGGAGACUUACUUCCACUCCUGUGAUUCCGGAUCCAGCUCUCCUCAAUUCUCAGUGAGUGUGGGGUCCAUGGUUCUUCCCCCUUCUCCAGCCUGGAGAUGACAUCAGGUUUGGAAUGUUGAAGUCCUGUUCCAGAGAAAGGAAGCAAGACUGACAAUUCAUCCAAGUCCAGGGCAGGAUGGCCCCAUGGGCAGCACGUGUGUGCUGGUCGUGACCUCCCCUGUCACCUGGUCUGCAAAUCAAGGAGACAGAUUCAGGCCUCUGCCCCAGCUGAAGAAAAGUUACACCCAGCUCUUCUGGGGGCUGUGGAUAAGGGACAGAGUUGGGGCCUGAACACAUCACACUAGAAGACUCACAGAA